rnacentral:rRNA from 1 species
GAUGAACGCUGGCGGCGUGCCUAAUACAUGCAAGUCGAGCGAACAGACGAGGAGCUUGCUCCUCUGACGUUAGCGGCGGACAGGUGAGUAACACGUGGAUAACCUACCUAUAAGACUGGGAUAACUUCGGGAAACCGGAGCUAAUACCGGAUAAUAUAUUGAACCGCAUGGUUCAAUAGUGAAAGACGGUUUUGCUGUCACUUAUAGAUGGAUCCGCGCCGCAUUAGCUAGUUGGUAAGGUAACGGCUUACCAAGGCGACGAUGCGUAGCCGACCUGAGAGGGUGAUCGGCCACACUGGAACUGAGACACGGUCCAGACUCCUACGGGGGGCAGCAGUAGGGAAUCUUCCGCAAUGGGCGAAAGCCUGACGGAGCAACGCCGCGUGAGUGAUGAAGGUCUUCGGAUCGUAAAACUCUGUUAUUAGGGAAGAACAAAUGUGUAAGUAACUAUGCACGUCUUGACGGUACCUAAUCAGAAAGCCACGGCUAACUACGUG